UACAGAGGUCCCGAGCGUUGUUCGGAAUUAUUGGGCGUAAAGGGUGCGUAGGCGGUUUGGUAAGUCUGAUGUGAAAUCUAUGGGCUCAACUCAUAGUCUGCAUCGGAAACUGCCGGGCUUGAGUAUGGGAGAGGUGAGUGGAAUUCCUGGUGUAGCGGUGAAAUGCGUAGAUAUCAGGAGGAACACCUGUGGCGAAAGCGGCUCACUGGACCAUAACUGACGCUGAUGCACGAAAGCUAGGGGAGCAAACAGG
rnacentral:rRNA from 1 species